rnacentral:rRNA from 1 species
UACAGAGGUCUCAAGCGUUGUUCGGAUUCAUUGGCGUAAAGGGUGCGUAGGUGGCGCGGUAAGUCGGGUGUGAAAUUUCGGAGCUUAACUCCGAAACUGCAUUCGAUACUGCCGUGCUUGAGGACUGGAGAGGAGACUGGAAUUUUUACGGUGUAGCAGUGAAAAAUGCGUAGAGAUCGUAAGGAAGACCCAGUGGCGAAGGCGGGUCUCUGGACAGUUCCUGACACUGAGG